rnacentral:rRNA from 1 species
GAGUGGCGAACUGGUGAGUAACACGUGGGAAACCUGCCCAGAAGCGGGGGAUAACACCUGGAAACAGAUGCUAAUACCGCAUAACAACUUGGACCGCAUGGUCCGAGCUUGAAAGAUGGCUUCGGCUAUCACUUUUGGAUGGUCCCGCGGCGUAUUAGCUAGAUGGUGGGGUAACGGCUCACCAUGGCAAUGAUACGUAGCCGACCUGAGAGGGUAAUCGGCCACAUUGGGACUGAGACACGGCCCAAACUCCUACGGGAGGCAGCAGUAGGGAAUCUUCCACAAUGGACGAAAGUCUGAUGGAGCAACGCCGCGUGNNNAAGAAGGGUUUCGGCUCGUAAAACUCUGUUGUUAAAGAAGAACAUAUCUGAGAGUAACUGUUCAGGUAUUGACGGUAUUUAACCAGAAAGCCACGGCUAACUACGUGCCAGCAGCCGCGGUAAUACGUAGGUGGCAAGCGUUGUCCGGAUUUAUUGGGCGUAAAGCGAGCGCCGGCGGUUUUUUAAGUCUGAUGUGAAAGCCUUCGGCUCAACCGAAGAAGUGCAUCGGAAACUGGGAAACUUGAGUGCAGAAGAGGACAGUGGAACUCCAUGUGUAGCGGUGAAAUGCGUAGAUAUAUGGAAGAACACCAGUGGCGAAGGCGGCUGUCUGGUCUGUAACUGACGCUGAGGCUCGAAAGUAUGGGUAGCAAACAGGAUUAGAUACCCUGGUAGUCCAUACCGUAAACGAUGAAUGCUAAGUGUUGGAGGGUUUCCGCCCUUCAGUGCUGCAGCUAACGCAUUAAGCAUUCCGCCUGGGGAGUACGGCCGCAAGGCUGAAACUCAAAGGAAUUGACGGGGGCCCGCACAAGCGGUGGAGCAUGUGGUUUAAUUCGAAGCUACGCGAAGAACCUUACCAGGUCUUGACAUACUAUGCAAAUCUAAGAGAUUAGACGUUCCCUUCGGGACAUGGAUACAGGUGGUGCAUGGUUGUCGUCAGCUCGUGUCGUGAGAUGUUGGGUUAAGUCCCGCAACGAGCGCAACCCUUAUUAUCAGUUGCCAGCAUUAAGUUGGGCACUCUGGUGAGACUGCCGGUGACAAACCGGAGGAAGGUGGGGAUGACGUCAAAUCAUCAUGCCCCUUAUGACCUGGGCUACACACGUGCUACAAUGGAUGGUACAACGAGUUGCGAACUCGCGAGAGUAAGCUAAUCUCUUAAAGCCAUUCUCAGUUCGGAUUGUAGGCUGCAACUCGCCUACAUGAAGUCGGAAUCGCUAGUAAUCGCGGAUCAGCAUGCCGCGGUGAAUACGUUCCCGGGCCUUGUACACACCGCCCGUCACACCAUGAGAGUUUGUAACACCCAAAG